UCCAGGGUAGCCUAGUGGACAUGGCAUCUGCCCGGUAAGCGGAACAGUGUGGGUUCGAUUCCCAUCCCUGGAC